rnacentral:rRNA from 1 species
UACGUAGGGUCCGAGCGUUGUCCGGAAUUAUUGGGCGUAAAGGGCUCGUAGGCGGUUUGUCGCGUCGGGAGUGAAAACACCGGGCUUAACUCGGUGCUUGCUUUCGAUACGGGCAGACUUGAGGUAUGCAGGGGGAGAACGGAAUUCCUGGUGUAGCGGUGAAAUGCGCAGAUAUCAGGAGGAACACCGGUGGCGAAGGCGGUUCUCUGGGCAUUACCUGACGCUGAGGAGCGAAAGCGUGGGGAGCGAACAGG